UGAAGCAGAAAUGAAUGCAGGAUGCUGGUGGGCGGGACCCAACCUCUUCAACCCUCCCCCGCACCGUCUUUACUUCCGGUGGCGCAGUGGGUUAUCCAGGCUGCCAGUUGAGGCGGGUGGGACAUCCUCAAGGAAAGACCUUCAUUACUUCGUAGUUGUGGUCUUUAGUUACUGGGUAAAGAGACUGAGCCUGGAUCAGAAACAUUUCGCAGUUUACAUACAACCGUAAGGUAUUGUCAUAAUCUUGUGACUGUCUUAAGGUGGUCUCUUUUUUAAUCCCUGCUUCAAAAGGUUUUUUCCCAGGAGCUGAGCAAGUUUUACAGAAGCUGAAAUUUGCAGGUUUCUAUUAAGACAGUUUUAUCUUUAGCAAACAGAACUUUUUGUCUAUCGGUGGUGGUGGUCAUUUUUCGGGGGAGAACAGGUGUUGAGAAGAGCAAGGCGCAAACAAGCAGGCUUACCAAAGUUUAGAAGCCACGGGCUUGGUUUCAUUCUGUUGUAUCAGAUCAGAGACAGUUUCUUACUCUGUUUUCUUAAGUUCAUGUAACGUAAUAUAUCCUAAGUAAGGUGGUUAAUCAGUUAAUGUUAGAGCUUGCUGUUUCCCUCUUCUCUUUCAAAGGGAGGGUCUGCUGUCCUUCAGGAGAAUUGAGGUUGGGGGCAAACAAACACCGAGCCUUAAAACGAGCCCUCACGCAGUUAAAGGAUGUUUAGAACUCGGUGGAAGAGAUACAGUCGACAGUGAGCAUUAGAAACAAACUUAUGGAAUGCUUCACACAGUUGGGGUGCCCCCAUACUCACUGCCCUGUGUGUUUGAUUUAGACAGGCUCCCAAGAAAAUGGAAAGACAGAACAAAAGUGUGUUAUUGGCUGGUGUAAACCAGAAUUUCUAGAAGGAAGCAGUUUUCAUAGUCUGAUCAACUAGCAAAACGUUUUUGGACUUUAAAGAGUUUAAAAUGAUGCUGAUGUUAUUUCUCUUGGAUUGUCUUUGGCCCCUUAAAGAGCCCUUAGGGCCCACCUUUGUGUCAGGCCUAACAUCCUGGAUGCCAGAUAAGGAUGAUUGGAAUGUAUUAACAAAACACUGUUCUCCACCAAUCAAAAGAAUGCUAUCAGAUGGCUCUCAUAGGUGAGGUUUCCCUGUCUGUAACUGACUACUUAAUGUUUCCACCAAUGCAUUUUUAGAUAACCUUGAUUUCAAAUUUUCUUUGUUCUAUUACUAUUUUUAAAACUCCAUGAAACAGCUUCCACAUUGGAACAUUAUGCUUGGGAAGACCUGAAUAUUUAUUCCUGGGCUAUGAUCACUCAAAUUUAGCUUCAGAAUAAACUUUAACACCACCACCACCCCCUUGAGGUGAGAGCUGUAGUUUUUGUGUCAACAUUAAUAAUUUAAGUGAAUGUAGUAGGUUCCCAUCUUGGUGUAUGCAGAGCCAAAUUAAGCACAGCCAAAACAUUGAAGAGUGGAGAAAGAUUUAUUACUUUCAGCAGGCAAGGAGAACACAGGAGUGAUAUCCAAAGCCGUGGUCUCUCUGAACAACGGAUUCGAGGAGAUUUUAUUCCUGAGGAUAUACAUCUUCAUGGAGGGUGACAACAUUUCCAUAUAUUGUAAAUCAGACCUUUGCAACCAAACCACACAAGGAGAGUUGGAGAAUUUGUCUUUAUUAUGCCGGCAGGCCUACUGGCAGAUCCAGCAGAGGCGCUCAGCCCCAGUGCAUGUUUACAUUUACAGUUUGCAAGCAUCAUUUUCUACCUUUUCUGUUAUUGGUGGGUUUAGCCUGUGACAACAGACAGUGGUGAGGUGAAAGGGUUUGAAUUUUAGCCUGCAUGACUAAAACCCAAGAGUGAGCAUAUACCAAAGAAACUGUGACAUUAGAACAAUUAUUUUGUAAUUGUCUGUUUUGUUUUGUUUUUUUUUACCAAGGCGGGUAUUCAGCUGAUGUGAGAUUAUAGAAGCAAAACACAGGACAUAUUACUCAUAGCUACAAAUAAAGAAAAUUUAAAUAUUUUAAUCUUUCUCAUCAGCUGUGUAACCAUGGCUGGUCUGGAACUAUAAGUGAUUCUGGCUGGCCCCAGACUCACAGCCUCUGCCUCCUGAGUGUCCAGAUUAAGACAUGGGCCAUACACUCCCCUGAGGUCAUUUUCUUUGCUAAAGACAUGACUCAGCAGUUAAUGCUGGCUGUUCUUUGUUUUUUGAUUUUUUUUUUCUUUUUUGAAAACAGGGUUUCUUUGUGUAGCUCUGGCUGUCUUGGAACUCACUCUGUAGACCAGGCUGGCCUCGAACUCAGAGAUCUCCCUGCCUCUGCUUCUCAAGUGCUAGAAUUAAAGGUAUGCAUCACUACCCAGCUGACUCUUCUUUCAGAGGAUCCAGGUUCGUUUUCCAGAACCUGAAUGGUGGCUUCACAACCUCUAACUCUUGUUCCAGGAGUUGCAGCACCCUCUCCUGGCCUUCUUGGGCACCAGGCACACAGGAAAUACACAGACAAAACACCCGUCCACAUAAUAUCAAAUUUGAAAAGGAAGGGUAGAUUUGGUCGGGGGUUCGGAGGGGGUGGUAUGCCCAACUCAAAGUCCUGAAGCACUUGUGUAAAGUAAAAGAUUAAAAUAUUUAACUAGAA